CUCCUGUGGUAUGAGCAAGAUCUCAACAGAUCCAACAAUGGUGUGGUCUGUAAAAGUGGUCGAGACAUGUUCCAACAACCCGAGAUCUAGAGUUUUAAUUUCAUGUCUGAGAUCUCGUGAUUCAAAAGCAGGCAGCGGCUAGGGUUCUGACCAUGACCACCUGGUAAGUUCAGUUCAUCCAAAAAUCUUUACCGAUGAAAACGGAUUGUCACAAAGAAUUAGCUUUUGUAAUUUUGUUU